AUUGAACGCUGGCGGCAUGCCUAACACAUGCAAGUCGAACGGGGGCAGCAAUGCCCUAGUGGCGGACGGGUGAGGAAUACGUAGGAACCGGCCCACGAGUGGGGGACAACCUGGGGAAACCCAGGCUAAUACCGCAUACGCUCGCGAGAGGAAAGCGGGGGACCUUCGGGCCUCGCGCUGGUGGACGGGCCUACGUCCGAUUAGCUUGUUGGUGGGGUAAAAGCCUACCAAGGCGACGAUCGGUAGCUGGUCUGAGAGGAUGAUCAGCCACACUGGGACUGAGACACGGCCCAGACUCCUACGGGAGGCAGCAGUGGGGAAUAUUGGACAAUGGGCGCAAGCCUGAUCCAGCAAUGCCGCGUGGGUGAAGAAGGCCUGCGGGUUGUAAAGCCCUUUAAGCGGGAGGAAAGCCGGGGGGUGAAUAAGCGCCUCGGGGUGACGUUACCCGCAGAAUAAGCACCGGCUAACUCCGUGCCAGCAGCCGCGGU
rnacentral:rRNA from 1 species